rfam:Anolis carolinensis chromosome 3, whole genome shotgun sequence.
AACUAGGCUUUUUUCAAAGCUACACAUUGUGCAAACUGGAUUCCA